UACGUAGGGUGCGAGCGUUGUCCGGAAUUAUUGGGCGUAAAGAGCUUGUAGGCGGUUUGUCGCGUCUGCUGUGAAAAUCCGGGGCUCAACCCCGGACUUGCAGUGGGUACGGGCAGACUAGAGUGCGGUAGGGGAGAUUGGAAUUCCUGGUGUAGCGGUGAAAUGCGCAGAUAUCAGGAGGAACACCGGUGGCGAAGGCGGGUCUCUGGGCCGAAACUGACGCUGAGGAGCGAAAGCGUGGGGAGCAAACAGG
rnacentral:rRNA from 1 species